AUUGAACGCUGGCGGCAGGCCUAACACAUGCAAGUCGAGCGAGCGGCGGACGGGUGAGUAAUGUCUGGGAAACUGCCUGAUGGCGGGGGAUAACUACUGGAAACGGUAGCUAAUACCGCAUACCAUCAGAUGUGCCCAGAUGGGAUUAGCUGGUAGGUGGGGUAACGGCUCACCUAGGCGACGAUCCCUAGCUGGUCUUAGAGGAUGACCAGCCACACUGGAACGGAGACACGGUCCAAACUCUUACGGGAGGCAGCAGGGGGAAAUAUUGCACAAUGGGCGCAAGCCUGAUGCAGCCAUGCCGGGUGUGUGAAGAAGGCCUUCGGGUUGUAAAGCACUUUCAGCGGGGAGGCGUUACCCGAAGAAGAAGCACCGGCUAACUCCGUGCCAGCAGCCGCGGUAAUAC
rnacentral:rRNA from 1 species